GACGAACGCUGGCGGCGUGCCUAAUACAUGCAAGUAGGACGCAGUUGCGAACGGGUGAGUAACGCGUAGGUAACUACCUAUUAGAGGGGGAUAACUAUUGGAAACGAUAGCUAAUACCGCAUACUAAUAGAUGUACCUGCGUUGUAUUAGCUAGUAGGUAGGGUAAUGGCCUACCUAGGCAACGAUACAUAGCCGACCUUGGGUGGGUAGCCGCAACACUGGGACUUGGCAACGGACCAGACUCCUACGGGAGGCAGCAGUAGGGAAUCUUCGGCAAUGGGGGGAACACUGACCGAGCAACGCCGCGUGAGUGAAGAAGGUUUUCGGAUCGUAAAGCUCUGUUGUUAAGGAAGCGGUACUUAACCAGAAAGGGACGGCUAACUACGUGCCAGCCGCCGCGGUAAUUC
rnacentral:rRNA from 1 species